UAUCUGCCUUUUCCUCGAAUACAUUUCAUCGAACACCUUGUGAGCAUGCUUCAUCAUCACUGGUUGGAGCCGAAGCCGGCGUAGCUGACCGCGGGAGCUGUGGCUCGGGCCGCCUCUACUUCUUCUGCUGCCUUGCAUCAACGCCGGGAGCCGCUGGACGUCGGGGAGAGUGCGUCGAACACCUGCGUGCGCUGCCGACGUCGAUUCGCCCCUGCUUCACCCGCACCGUGCCGCGCAUCACCGACCUAUGCCGUUGCUCCACCGCACGAUUCCGAGGGAGUGGUUGAGUUGACUGCAAAACAAGGACAGCAAGACAGUGAGCAAGGCAAGUCAUCACUAAUCUUUGAGCAUAUUGGACCUAUUGCGAACUUAUUUUGAUUUAAAUAAAGUUUGCAUGCUAUUUAUAUGUGAAUGUCCUACUUUGUUAUAUGCCAUACCUUUGAUAUUGAUUAUCCAUACAAUCUUUGUAAUCCAUAAUAUCGUGUGUUUUUAGUCAAUGCUUGACCAAAGCAUGGGUAUGAUUUGACUGAUAAACCUGAUGUUUUAUUAUUUUUUUUCUUUUUACUUCUAACUUGAUUGCCAUUUUUUUUGAGAAUUCCUUCGUAAAUCCCACAGCAAAGCACGGGGAAUCACCUAGUCAAUACUCCCUCCUUCCAAAAGUCUCAGUCGUAUUUGGUUUUCUUGUUUUUCCAGAUGAGAUGGGCGCAUUCCACUCUGCAUGCAUGCAUGCAGGCUUUAAAUGUGUAGCUGGUCUCUUCGUUAAACAUGCAUGGAUUUAAUUCCUCUCAGCAACCGAACAGUAUUCUUUUGCAUGCAUGCAAAUCCAUCCGUUGCCUAUUCGCGAGCGGUGGGCGCGGACGGUUGCGGUGUUGCACACACGCGUAUCGUGCAUCAACCGAAGCGUCGCUUCCUCUAAAUCCAUGCAGAUGUAGCGAUGGUUAAAUGCGUCGGAGAGUUCCUUGGUCUUGGAGCAAAACGUAAUACGACUGAGACUUUUGGAAGGAGGGAGUAUAUAUGAGUGAGACCAAUGUUUACUUGAACUUUAUCUUAUUUAGUCUUCUUUACAUUGAGAACAUCAACAUAAUGAAGGUUUGUAUUUAUGUGUCUUUAUUAUUGCUACAUGCGUUCUCCAUGUGUAGGGAACAAACCCCAUUGGUUUUUCUCUAA